GAUGAACGCUAGCGGCAGGCUUAACACAUGCAAGUCGAGGGGUAGAGGAAGCUUGCUUCCUUGAGACCGGCGCACGGGUGCGUAACGCGUAUGCAACCUACCUUUUACAGAGGGAUAGCCCAGAGAAAUUUGGAUUAAUAACUCAUGGUAUAUAUCAUUCGCAUGUUUGAUAUAUUAAAGUUCCAACGGUAAAAGAUGGGCAUGCGUCCUAUUAGCUAGAUGGUAAGGUAACGGCUUACCAUGGCAACGAUAGGUAGGGGUCCUGAGAGGGAGAUCCCCCACACUGGUACUGAGACACGGACCAGACUCCUACGGGAGGCAGCAGUGAGGAAUAUUGGACAAUGGGCGCAAGCCUGAUCCAGCCAUGCCGCGUGCAGGAAGAAGCAUCUAUGGUGUGUAAACUGCUUUUGUACGGGAAGAAACACUCCUUCGUGAAGGAGCUUGACGGUACCGUAAGAAUAAGGAUCGGCUAACUCCGUGCCAGCAGCAGCCGCCGUAA
rnacentral:rRNA from 1 species